AUGACCGAGUCCGCGUCAAACAUAGGAUUAGUUAAAAUAGAUUGUUUCCCAUUUUUGAUUGAGCAAAUUUUUAAGAAAAUCAGUGAUUGGAAGGAAAAAUUGCUAUCUGCCGGAGGGAAGGAGAUCCUUUUCAAGUCUGUUGUCCAAGCCGUAUCCAUCUAUUCAAUGUCGGUCUUUAAAAUUCCUAAUUGUAAAGAAAUCAUUCACAAGAUGGUGCAUUUCUGGUGGGGAGACGAGGAGAACCAGAUGAGGAUGCAUUGGAUGCCCUGGUGGAGAAUGUGUGUCCCUAAAAAUCCAGGAGGGAUGGGUCGUGAUAUUCAUUGUUUCAACUUGGCAAUGAGAUGGGACGAACCACAAUUAACCCUAUUUGGAACAAGAUGUGGAAAUUAUCUUGCCCAGCAAAGGUCAAAAUAUGUAUCUGGCGUACACUACAUGGCACACUUCCAUGUCAUGUUACGCUCACAAACAGACAUAAGAAAAUCUCGCCCACUUGUCCUACUUGCUCUGCUGGUCCAGAAUAUACCAAGCACAUGCUAUCUCUAUGUAAUAAAGCAAAGGAGGUUUGGAAAAGGCUGGGGAUGGAUGGUAUUAUUGAUAAAGCCUUUGAGGUUGAUUGUGUUGGAGAGGCGGUAUUGA
rnacentral:rRNA from 1 species